rnacentral:rRNA from 2 species
ACUUAAAUUGAAGAGUUUGAUCAUGGCUCAGAUUGAACGCUGGCGGCAGGCCUAACACAUGCAAGUCGAGCGGUAGCACAGAGAGCUUGCUCUCGGGUGACGAGCGGCGGACGGGUGAGUAAUGUCUGGGAAACUGCCUGAUGGAGGGGGAUAACUACUGGAAACGGUAGCUAAUACCGCAUAACGUCGCAAGACCAAAGUGGGGGACCUUCGGGCCUCAUGCCAUCAGAUGUGCCCAGAUGGGAUUAGCUAGUAGGUGGGGUAACGGCUCACCUAGGCGACGAUCCCUAGCUGGUCUGAGAGGAUGACCAGCCACACUGGAACUGAGACACGGUCCAGACUCCUACGGGAGGCAGCAGUGGGGAAUAUUGCACAAUGGGCGCAAGCCUGAUGCAGCCAUGCCGCGUGUGUGAAGAAGGCCUUCGGGUUGUAAAGCACUUUCAGCGGGGAGGAAGGCGUUAAGGUUAAUAACCUUGGCGAUUGACGUUACCCGCAGAAGAAGCACCGGCUAACUCCGUGCCAGCAGCCGCGGUAAUACGGAGGGUGCAAGCGUUAAUCGGAAUUACUGGGCGUAAAGCGCACGCAGGCGGUCUGUCAAGUCGGAUGUGAAAUCCCCGGGCUUAACCUGGGAACUGCAUUCGAAACUGGCAGGCUAGAGUCUUGUAGAGGGGGGUAGAAUUCCAGGUGUAGCGGUGAAAUGCGUAGAGAUCUGGAGGAAUACCGGUGGCGAAGGCGGCCCCCUGGACAAAGACUGACGCUCAGGUGCGAAAGCGUGGGGAGCAAACAGGAUUAGAUACCCUGGUAGUCCACGCCGUAAACGAUGUCGAUUUGGAGGUUGUGCCCUUGAGGCGUGGCUUCCGGAGCUAACGCGUUAAAUCGACCGCCUGGGGAGUACGGCCGCAAGGUUAAAACUCAAAUGAAUUGACGGGGGCCCGCACAAGCGGUGGAGCAUGUGGUUUAAUUCGAUGCAACGCGAAGAACCUUACCUGGUCUUGACAUCCACAGAACUUAGCAGAGAUGCUUUGGUGCCUUCGGGAACUGUGAGACAGGUGCUGCAUGGCUGUCGUCAGCUCGUGUUGUGAAAUGUUGGGUUAAGUCCCGCAACGAGCGCAACCCUUAUCCUUUGUUGCCAGCGGUUAGGCCGGGAACUCAAAGGAGACUGCCAGUGAUAAACUGGAGGAAGGUGGGGAUGACGUCAAGUCAUCAUGGCCCUUACGACCAGGGCUACACACGUGCUACAAUGGCAUAUACAAAGAGAAGCGACCUCGCGAGAGCAAGCGGACCUCAUAAAGUAUGUCGUAGUCCGGAUUGGAGUCUGCAACUCGACUCCAUGAAGUCGGAAUCGCUAGUAAUCGUAGAUCAGAAUGCUACGGUGAAUACGUUCCCGGGCCUUGUACACACCGCCCGUCACACCAUGGGAGUGGGUUGCAAAAGAAGUAGGUAGCUUAACCUUCGGGAGGGCGCUUACCACUUUGUGAUUCAUGACUGGGGUGAAGUCGUAACAAGGUAACCGUAGGGGAACCUGCGGUUGGAUCACCUCCUUACCUUAAAGAA